AAAACCCAACACAUUAGGGUGCUAAAGGGAGUGUUUGAUGAUGACUUCCUCUGUGUGGUUUGUGUGAAAUGUCUCUCACUUUGGUCUGAAGUAGAGUCUUAGUGAAAGAAACAAGAAACCUUCAUGUAAAAGCAAGAGAUCAACAUGAAGAUCUUUCAGCUUCUAAUCUAUCUGUUCAUAUGGUGUCAAGCUGUAGAGACUUUGGAUCAUCUAACAGAUUUGGGACAAAAUGUGACUAUAAACUGUGAUCUGGACUCAAAUGAGGUUUAUUGGAUUUUACUGAAACAAUCAGAUUCUCAUACAGUGAUACUGCUGCGCUCAUUCUCAAACCCAACAUCUGCUUUUCCUUUAAAUAAAACAUUUAAAAACAAAUAUUCAACACAAUCUAAACAGCGUCUGGUGAUAUAUAAUAUUACUGUAGAUGAGUUAGGAGUUUAUUACUGUAUGAACACAGAUACACCUCCAAAACUCAGUACCAGCACAAGACUGCACAUUAUUGAGCCGACUGAACUCACAAAGUUAUCUGUGUAUCUGAAUGAAACUUUAGUUAAGUGUAUACACAAUGAGACACAAUGGCACUUUAUCAUCAUUAUAUCUGCUCUUCUGAUCAUU